CAUAGUCCGCCAGUGGUCUGGGCUUUAAGGGGACCCCACCAAAGAAAACAGAGGGCUUGGAUGGACUGGAAUGGGUUUGGAAAGAGAAAAGGGUGGAUGGAUGCCUGGGCUUAGGUGGAAUAUUUCAGCUCUGUGAGCUGUAGCAGCCUACAGUGUUGCUGGCACCUUGAAUGAAGCGUCUCGGAAGUGCCUGCCCACACACUGUUCUGCUGUUCAGAAGAAUCAUCAAAGAUCCCAGGCUCUGCCACAGUGACCUGAUGUAUAUACUCCUCCUGCUAGACUGAGAAACAACUCUGCUGUGGUAGCGAGCAUGUCAUCACAGCCUAGAGGGAUAAAAAAGGGAUCCACUGGAUUAAAAGCAGCUUUUGUCUAUGGAUCGUGUUGGGGACAUGACCGACAAGCCAUUGCAAUCCCCAGUCACCAUACCAUUUCUUCUGAUCCAUUACCGGCUGUCUCUGAAGCUGGACAGCGAGCUACUGGAAGACCAGCUCUAGGAUCAGUGCGACAGAGCCGGCUCAUUUGCAAGCCACUGCCUCAGCUAUGUCUGGAGGAUAUUGGGAGCAGCUGAGACUUUAGACCAAUUUCUCCUCUUCCAAAUGAAGAUUUAAAAAGUAAAUAGAGUAAUUAAGUUGAAAGUGACGUCCAGAGAGCUUCGACCGUUUUCCCAGCUGAAGUUUAUACAAGAUAUAAGUGUCGCUUCUGCUAAUGUUAGUACUAUUAUUCUCUGAUGUGGCAGACCUGACUGAAAAAUAUGACAGUUGUAAUAUUAUUUUCAGAUAAUUUUUUAGUAAAUCCCAAUUUUUCUCUUAUUGAAUAAGUUUCAUCCUAUUACAAAACAAGUGAGAAAAUCUCAUGUUUACCCCCC
rnacentral:lncRNA from 1 species